CCUGGCUCAGGAGUGAACGCUAGCUACAGGCUAACACAUGCAAGUCGAGGGGUAGCAGGGUAGCAAUACCGCUGACGACCGGCGCACGGGUGAGUAACACGUAUCCAACCUUCCCAUAACUCAGGGAUAGCCUUUCGAAAGAAAGAUUAAUACCUGAUAGUACUUUUUCAAGGCAUCUUGAGAAAGUUAAAGAUUUAUUGGUUAUGGAUGGGGAUGCGUUCCAUUAGAUAGUUGGUGAGGUAACGGCUCACCAAGUCUUCGAUGGAUAGGGGUUCUGAGAGGAAGGUCCCCCACAUUGGUACUGAGACACGGACCAAACUCCUACGGGAGGCAGCAGUGAGGAAUAUUGGUCAAUGGGCGAGAGCCUGAACCAGCCAAGUAGCGUGAAGGAUGAAGGUCCUAUGGAUUGUAAACUUCUUUUAUAGUAGAAUAAAGUGAUCCACGUGUGGAUUUUUGUAUGUAUACUAUGAAUAAGGAUCGGCUAACUCCGUGCCAGCCGCAGC
rnacentral:rRNA from 1 species